rnacentral:rRNA from 1 species
GACGAACGCUGGCGGCGUGCUUAACACAUGCAAGUCGAACGAAGUGGCGAACGGGUGAGUAAUACGUGGGUAACCUGCCCUCCUUUUUGGGAUAAGCCUUGGAAACGGGGUCUAAUACCGCAUAACGGGGGAUGGGCUCGCGGCCUAUCAGAUAGUUGGUGGGGUGAUGGCCUAACAAGGCGAUGACGGGUAGACGGGCUGAGCGGCUGAUCGGGUACAUUGGUACGGAGACUGGGCCCAGACUCGUACGCGAGGGAGCAGGGGGGGAUAUUGCAGAAUGGGCGAUGGCCUGAUGCCGCGACGGCGAGGGGGGGAUGAAGGCUUUCGGGUUCUAAACCUCUUUCGCUAUCGAAGGGGUAGGUGGAGAAGAAGCGCCGGCUAACUACGUGCCAGCAGCCGCGGUAAUAC